rnacentral:rRNA from 1 species
CGUCGCCACGGGAAUACGAAGGGUGCAAGCGUUACUCGGAAUUACUGGGCGUAAAGCGUGCGUAGGUGGUUGUUUAAGUCUGCUGUGAAAGCCCUGGGCUCAACCUGGGAAUUGCAGUGGAUACUGGGCGACUAGAGUAAGGUAGAGGAUAGUGGAAUUUCCGGUGUAGCAGUGAAAUGCGUAGAGAUCGGAAGGAACAUCUGUGGCGAAGGCGACUAUCUGGGCCAUUACUGACACUGAGGCACGAAAGCGUGGGGAGCAAACAGGAUUAGAUACCCGGGUAGUCCCUGUCUCUUAUACA